UGCCAGCCGCCGCGGUAAGACGGGAGGUGCAAGCGUUAUUCGGAUUUAUUGGGCGUAAAGGGUCUGUAGGUUGUUGGUUAAGUCUAUGGUCAAAUUCCGAAGCUCAACUUCGGGCCGGCACUAGAAACUAAUCAACUUGAGUACGUUAGAGGCAGGGGGAAUUCCCAGUGUAGCGGUGAAAUGCGUAGAUAUUGGGAGGAACAUCAAUGGCGAAGGCAGUUCACUGGACCGUGAUCGACGCUGAGGAGCGAAAGCUAGGGGAGCAAACAGGAUUAGAUA
rnacentral:rRNA from 1 species